rnacentral:rRNA from 1 species
GGCUCAGACGAACGCUGGCGGCGUGCUUAACACAUGCAAGUCGAACGCGAAAGGGACUUCGGUCCUGAGUAAAGUGGCGCACGGGUGAGUAACGCGUAGAUAACCUGUCUUCAUGUCUGGAAUAAUACGCCGAAAGGGGUACUAAUACCGGAUAUUCUUGCUUUUCAUAAGUUAUGCAAGCAAAGGUGGCCUCUGCAUAUGCUACUGCAUGAAGAGGGGUCUGCGUACCAUUAGCUAGUAGGUGGGGUAAUGGCCUACCUAGGCGACGAUGGUUAGCGGGUCUGAGAGGAUGAUCCGCCACACUGGCACCGGAACACGGGCCAGACUCCUACGGGAGGCAGCAGUGAGGAAUAUUGCGCAAUGGGGGAAACCCUGACGCAGCGACGCCGCGUGAGUGAGGAAGGCCUUCGGGUCGUAAAGCUCUGUCAAGAGGAAAGAAGUGUACAAUGGCUAAUACCUGUUGUAUUUGACGGUACCUCUAAAGGAAGCACCGGCUAACUCCGUGCCAGCCGCCGC